rnacentral:lncRNA from 1 species
GUGCAGGGAUGCCAGUGCGGUGGCACUGAUGGCAGUGUCACGCUGCCACAGGGGAGGAGGCCCAGCUGACACAGGAGAAGAUGGAGUCACUGAGGAUGCGGUACCUCAUCGUGGGCCAGAGCAGUGCUGACACCGCUCACCGGCUGGGGCAGACCCUCGAGGCCUCGUCUCGCCUGGGCACGGCCCCUGAGGACCUGGCACUGUGGCUGAGCCGCAUGGAGAAGGAGCUGGGCGAGCAGGAGAGCCAGCAGGAUGGCCAGGAGCCCUCAGUCACUGCCAGUGACAGGGAGAAGUUUGAGCAGGUCCUGGAGUCCCAGCUCAGCCGUGUGGCGGGGCUGGGCGAGCGGCUGGAGGAGAUCGGCCGCGUGCAGCUGGAUGCUGAGGCUCUCCGCUCGCAGCUCUCCGAGCAGAAGCUGCUCUCCGCCGAGAUCCUGCACUGCCGGGGCCUGGUUGAGCGUCUGCUGGGGUUCUCGGAGCCGCUGCUGCGCUGCUGCCCCGAGCCCCUGCGGCAGCGCCUUCAGGUG